GGGUCCGGACACACUGAGGAUUGACAGAUAUACGCUCAUUGCAGUUCGCUGCAUGAGCUGAAAGAUGCUAGUUCUUUCAUGAUUAUGUGAUAGGUGGUGCAUGGCCGUUCUUAGUUCGUGGAGUGAUCUGUCUGCUUAAUUGCGUAUCAAUAAUAGAGACCUAGUAUACGCGUGGAUUUCGUGUGGUAGUGACCCCCUGUUUAACGACAGGCGUGUGUCGCACACGCGUACCUACGCACUGGUCUCAGAUAGCAACGAACGUGACCGUAUUCUAUUGUUGCAGUGAAAUGUGCCUUCGGGUACGACCCACUGCUUAGUAUAUGUACGUGCUUCGGCGCGAACAAUAUACAUUAAACUAUAGAGACCGCUGUUUCUUCUUUAAACCAGAGGAAGGAUACGGCAAUAACAGGUCUGUGAUGCCCUCAGAUGUUCCGGGCUGCACACGUGCUACAAUGAUCAUUGCACUGUGCAUCUAACCCAAUGUGCGCGGGACGCCGCAUGCAUGUGCCUUCGGGGUACACGCAUUGCUGUUGCGACCACGCCGAACCUACUUCGAAAGUAAAAUUUCUCAGUGGGU
rnacentral:rRNA from 1 species